rnacentral:siRNA from 1 species
UAGGCUGCAGUGAUUUUCUUUUA